rnacentral:rRNA from 1 species
GCUCGGAUCACUAGUACGGCGCCGUGUGCUGGAAUCGCCCUUAGAGUUUGAUCCUGGCUCAGAACGAACGCUGGUGGUAUGCUUAACACAUGCAAGUCGAACGGACCCUUUUGAGUUUACUUGAAAGUAGGUUAGUGGCAAACGGGUGAGUAAUACAUAGGAAUCUACCUAGCAGUAUGGAAUAACCCUGGGAAACCAGAGCUAAUACCAUAUAUUACCGGUUUACCGGGAAAGAUUUAUCGCUGUUAGAUGAGCCUGUGCCGGGUUAGCUUGUUGGUAGGGUAAUGGCCUACCAAGGCAAUGAUCCGUAGCUGGUCUGAGAGGAUGAUCAGCCACACUGGGACUGCGACACGGCCCAGACUUCUACGGAAGGCAGCAGUGGAGAAUAUUGGACAAUGGGCGCAAGCCUGAUCCAGCAAUACCACGUGAAUGAUGAAG